AAGGAAGGGGCGUCUUUGGCGAGCUAGCCCGCAAUGGGACGACCAGUACUGCACGCUCUGCUCUAUCCAGACUCCAAAAGAAAACCCCAUCGUGGGGUGUCCCAGGCCGUUGGGUCGUUUAUAGCCAGAGUGGCCUAACCAGAGAAAUCCGUUCUUUUCCCUCCAAACUUGUAAAGCAGCUGGCGCCUCAGCUUAAGGAGCGUGGCCCUUCCUUAGCAGGUGAUGGAGAGGGGGGCAGUGGAGGAGCGUUAGGACGAGAUUUGGGGUCAUCCAGCCGGAGAGAGGGAGGCCGAAAGGAGAGACGUUUUCAGGAGGUGGAGGCUUCAGCAUUUGGAUGCCUGCGAGGCGGGAGAGGCCGGGGAGCCUGUCUUGUGCUGAGAGGCUGGGUAGACUGUUUUGUACCCUACAGGCUGAUCACCAGUUCCUCUUAGGAACCGGUGAACCUCAGGGGGCCAUUGCACAUCCAGGUGUGAAACUGCGGUGUGGCCUCCAGCCAACACAAGCCAUCAGCCCCAUGCUCAGCUCCCAGCAGGCAGAGCGUUCAGAAGCGCCAGCGCCAUCAGCUUGGGAGCCUGCAGUCCACACACCGUUGACCUUACCUACUUCCUCUUUCCAGGUCGUAGAUUACAGACUCUCCUCUGGGAAAUUGCCCCCAGAUCUAACAGGAGUACAAGAAGCUGGGUAGAUUGGAAAACAGCACCGAAUUCCCCUGGAACUGAGGACGGAAGCCUUCCCAGUCCUGCAGCCACCUGCAGACUCUCACAAGCACGGUGUUCCCGGGAGAAGAUCUUGCUACCCCAGGCCCAGGGCAGUCGAGAGAAAACGGGAAGCCCUGAAGGUUUUUCACCCCGGGGGUGAGAGUGUGUGAUCGAAGAUAUAUUUGAGGGUAAUUGUACAGAGAGUCCCAACUUAGCAUUGUUCAACUUUAUGAUGGUAUGAAAGUGAUGACAUUCAGUAGAAAUUGUACUUCAAGUGCCAAUACAAUCAGUUUUUCACUUUUGGUGCAGUAUUCAAUAAAUUACAUGAGAUAUUCAACACUUUACUUUAAAA